UACGGGGGGGGCAAGCGUUGUUCGGAAUUACUGGGCGUAAAGGGCUCGUAGGCGGCCAACUAAGUCGGACGUGAAAUCCCCAGGCUCAACCUGGGAACUGCGUCCGAUACUGGAUGGCUUGAGUGUGGGAGAGGGAUGCGGAAUUCCAGGUGUAGCGGUGAAAUGCGUAGAUAUCUGGAGGAACACCGGUGGCGAAGGCGGCAUCCUGGACCAUUACUGACACUGAAUAGCGAAAGCCAGGGGAGCAAACGGG
rnacentral:rRNA from 1 species